UCCCCCUCAAUAGAGGGGGGGCGGUUCUUGUUCUCCCUGAGCCUCCAUCACUCUGAAACAUAUUGAGAGACAAGGAGGUGAUAUAUGACUCGGAAAAACACCCGCU
rfam:Tick-borne encephalitis virus strain Tomsk-PT122, complete genome